UACGUAGGGUCGCAAGCGUUGUCCGGAAUUAUUGGGCGUAAAGAGCUCGUAGGCGGUUUGUUGCGUCGGCCGUGAAACCUGCAGCUUAACUGUGGGCCUGCGGCCGAUACGGCAGACUUGAGUUCGGUAGGGAGACUGGAAUUCCUGGUGUAGCGGUGAAAUGCGCAGAUAUCAGGAGGAACACCGGUGGCGAAGGCGGUCUCUGGGCCGAUACUGACGCUGAGGAGCGAAGCGUGGGAGCGAACAGG
rnacentral:rRNA from 1 species